rnacentral:rRNA from 1 species
GGAUGCGAUCAUACACCAGCACUAAAGCACCGGAUCCCAUCAGAACUCUGAAGGUAAUCGUGCUUGGGCGAGAGUAGUACUAGGAUGGGUGACCUCUUGGGAAGUCCUCGUGUUGCAUUCC